rnacentral:rRNA from 1 species
GAUGAACGCUGGCGGCGUGCCUAAUACAUGCAAGUCGAGCGAACGGACGAGAAGCUUGCUUCUCUUAUUUUAGCGGCGGAAGGGUGUGUAACACGUGUAUAACCCACCUCUUAGACUGGGAUAACUUCGGGGAAACGGAGCUAAUAUCGGAUAAUAUUUUGUACCGCAUGGUUCCAAAGUUAAUGACGGUCUUGCUGUUCCUUAUAGAUGGACCCGCGCUUCAUUAGCUAGUUGGUAAGGUAACGGCUUACCAAGGCAACGAUUCAUAGCCGACCUGGCAGGGUGAUCGGCCACACCAGAACUGAGCCACGGUCCAGACUCCUACGCGACGCAGCAGAAGGGAAACGUCCGCAAUGGGCGAAAGCCUGACGGAGCACCGCCGCGUGAGUGAUGAAGGUCUUCGGAUCGUAAAACUCUGUUACUAGGGAAGAACAUAUGUGUAAGUAACUGUGCACAUCUUGACGGUACCUAAUCAGAAAGCAACGGCUAACUACGUG